rnacentral:rRNA from 1 species
UGAAUACGAGACGCUAAGGCGUCGAAGUAGUGUAUGUCAUACUUCCAAGAAAAGCUUGCACUGUCAUAGAUAAAAAACGCCUGUACCAUAACCGACACAGGUGGGUAGGUAGAGUAUACUAAGGGGCGCGAGAUAACUCUCUCUAAGGAACCCGGCAAAAUAACUCCGUAACUUCGGGAGAAGGAGUGCCUUAUUCGUAAGGUUGCAAUAACAAGAUCCAAGCAACUGUUUAUCAAAAACACAGGUCUCCGCUAAGUCGUAAGACGAUGUAUGGGGGCUGACGCCUGCCCAGUGCCAGAAGGUUAAAGAAGUUGGUUAGCAAUUGCGAAGCUGUUAACUGAAGCCCUGGUGAACGGCGGCCGUAACAAUAACGGUCCUAAGGUAGCGAAAUUCCUUGUCGGGUAAGUUCCGACCCGCACGAAAGGCGUAAUGAUUUGGAUACUGUCUCGGAGAGGGGCUCGGUGAAAUAGACUUGUCUGUGAAGAUGCGGACUACCUGCACCAGGACAGAAAGACCCUAUGAAGCUUUACUGUAACUUGAAAUUGAAAUUGGACUUUAUUCGCGCAGUAUAGGUGGGAGGCGUUGAUUAUAAUCUUGUGGGAUUAUUGGAGCCAUCAGUGAGAUACCACUCUUGUAAUGUUAGAUUUCUAACUUUGAAUCAUUAUCUGGUCAAAGAACAGUUUCAGGCGGGCAGUUUGACUGGGGCGGUCGCCUCCUAAACGGUAACGGAGGCGUACAAAGGUUUCCUCUGAACGGUUAGAAAUCGUAUCUAGAGUGUAAAGGCAUAAGGAAGCUUGACUGUGAGACCUACAAGUCGAGCAGGGACGAAGUCGGUCUUAGUGAUCUGACGGUACUGAGUGGAAAGGCCGUCACUCAACGGAUAAAAGUUACUCUAAGGAUAACAGGCUGAUCUCCCCCAAGAGUUCACAUCGACGGGGAGGUUUGGCACCUCGAUGUCGGCUCAUCGCAUCCUGGGGCGGUAGUACGUCCCAAGGGUUGGGCUGUUCGCCCAUGAAAGCGGUACGCGAGCUGGGUUCAGAACGUCGUGAGACAGUUCGGUCCAUAUCCGGUGUAGGCGUUAGAAUAUUGAGAGGAGCCUUCUUUAGUACGAGAGGACCGAGAAGGACAUACCUCUGGUGUACCAGUUAUCGUGCCAACGGUAAACGCUGGGUAGCUAUGUAUGGAGUGGAUAACCGCUGAAAGCAUCUAAGUGGGAAGCCCACCUCAAGAUAAGUAUUCUC